rnacentral:lncRNA from 1 species
CGCUUGCACAUCUGUAAUCCCAGUACUGUAGGAGGCUGAAGCAGGAGGAUUGCAAGCUGAAUCUCAGCCUGGACAAUUUAGUGACUCAGUGAAAGCUUAUCUCAAAUGUAAAAUAAAAAAAGGACUGGGGAUGUGGAUCAUAUAGAAAAUGAACAAAGGAAGGCUAUUGGGCAAGAUCUUGGAAAUAUGUCAUGUGAAGAACAAAUGAAUGAAUGAAUGAAGUAUAUUAUACCUGAAACAUUGAUCUAUGAUGAUUUUCAUAUUUUUAAAAAGAUGAAAAAAAGAAGCUUGAACUAGACCAGUAGAAAUUACUCAGCCUAUUGACUUCAAACCUACUGGAGGCCGUCUUAUAAUCAGAAGAUUUUGUGGGAGACGUUUCUCUUCUCCAUCUACAAAGAGGUUGUGGUGACACACUAUCUGAUGUUCAACCCUUAUGAUGUCAAAAUAAUAUCAGGAGCACAGUGUAAGAGCUACAGAAUGUAUUUCAGUAGUCACAGAAAGAGACAGUGUUGAAAGAAGUGAGUAGUCUCAAUUUUCUCAUUGCUGGGACAAAAUACAUGAUACCCAAGGUUAAAGGAGGAAAGGUGUGUUUGGCUCACAGUUGUAGAGGUUCAGUCAAUUGUUAGCUGGAUCCAAGGCAGGGUGACAUGGCAGAGGAACAUCACAGGGGUGAAACAUU